rnacentral:rRNA from 1 species
AUUGAACGCUAGCGACAAGCCUAACACAUGCAAGUCGAGCGGCAUCGAAAAAAAAUCAAUUUGAUUUUUUUGUCGGCAAGCGGCGUACGGGUGAGUAAUAUCUGGGGAUCUACCCAAUGGAGGGGGACAACCAUUGGAAACGAUGGCUAAUACCGCAUAAUGUCUUUUUGACCAAAAUGGGGGACCAAUAAAAUAAUUGGCCUCAUGCCAUAGGAUGAACCCAGACGAGAUUAGCUAGUAGGUGAGGUAAAAGCUUACCUAGGCUACGAUCUCUAGCUGGUCUGAGAGGACGAUCAGCCACACUGGAACUGAAACACGGUCCAGACUCCUACGGGAGGCAGCAGUGGGGAAUAUUGCACAAUGGGGGAAACCCUGAUGCAGCUAUGUCGCGUGUGUGAAGAAGGCCUUAGGGUUGUAAAGCACUUUCAGUAGGGAAGAAGAUAAAUAUAGUGAAUAACUUAUUUAUUUGACGUUACUUACAGAAGAAGUACUGGCUAACUCCGUGCCAGCAGCCGCGGUAAUACGGGGGGUGCGAGCGUUAAUCGGAAUUACUGGGCGUAAAGCGUACGUAGGCCGUUUACUAAGUCAAAUGUGAAAUCCUUAGGCUUAACCUAAGAACUGCAUAUGAAACUAGUUAACUAGAGUUUUGUAGAGGGGAGUAGAAUUCCAGGUGUAGCGGUGAAAUGCGUAGAUAUCUGGAGGAAUACCAGUGGCGAAGGCGACUCCCUGGACAAAAACUGACGCUUAGGUACGAAAGCGUGGGGAGCAAACAGGAUUAGAUACCCUGGUAGUCCAUGCUGUAAACGAUGUUGAUUUGAAGGUUGUAGUUUUUUCUAUGGCUUUCGUAGCUAACGCGUUAAAUCAACCGCCUGGGGAAUACGACCGCAAGGUUAAAACUCAAAUGAAUUGACGGGGGCCCGCACAAGCGGUGGAGCAUGUGGUUUAAUUCGAUGCAACGCGAAAAACCUUACCUACUCUUGACAUCCAGAGUACUUAGCAGAGAUGCUUAGGUGCCUUCGGGAACUCUGAGACAGGUGCUGCAUGGCUGUCGUCAGCUCGUGUUGUGAAAUGUUGGGUUAAGUCCCGCAACGAGCGCAACCCUUAUCCUUUGUUGCCAUCGGAUUAGGACGGGAACUCAAAGGAAACUGCCAGUGAUAAACUGGAGGAAGGUGGGGACGACGUCAAGUCAUCAUGGCCCUUACGAGUAGGGCUACACACGUGCUACAAUGGUGUACACAAAGAGAUGCGAUCUUGCAAAAGUUAGCUAACCUCAAAAAAUACAUCUUAGUCCGGAUUGGAGUCUGCAACUCGACUCCAUGAAGUCGGAAUCGCUAGUAAUCGUGAAUCAGCAUGUCACGGUGAAUACGUUCCCGGGCCUUGUACACACCGCCCGUCACACCAUGGAAGUGGGUUGCAAAAGAAGUAAGUAGUUUAACCAAAUUUUGGAGGGCACUUACCACUUUGUGGUCCAUAACUGGGGUGAAGUCGUAACAAGGUAACCGUAGGGGAACCUGC